UGAAAAAGGCGGGGAUGACUUGUGGAUAGGGGAGAAAUUCCAAUCGAACCCGGAGAUAGCUGGUUCUCCUCGAAAUAGCUUUAGGGCUAGCCUCAUGGAUCAUUGAUGGGGGUAGAGCACUGAAUGUGCGCGGGGGCCACAAAGCCUACCAAACGCUAUCAAACUUCGAAUACCAUACAAUGCAGACCAUGGGAGUCAGUCCGCGAGAGAUAAGUUCCGCGGGCAAAAGGGGAACACCCCAGAUCAACCGCUAAGGUCCCCAAGUUCACGUUAAGUGGAGAAGGAUGUGGAAUUGCACAGACAACCAGGAUGUUGGCUCAGAAGCAGCCACACAUUUAAAGAGUGCGUAAUAGCUCACUGGUCGAGUGAUUGUGCGCCGAAGAUGUCCGGGGCUAAACGUGACACCGAAGCGAUGGGUGCAUCUGAAGAAGAUGCGCGGUAGAGGAGCAAUGUGCAGAGGCAGAAGCCGUAUCGAGAGGCACGGUGGACACUGCACAAGAGAGAAUGCCGGUAUGAGUAGCGAGAGGCAUGCGAGAAACAUGCCCGUCGAAAGCCCAAGGUUUCCUGGGGAAGGUUCAUCCGCCCAGGGUAAGUCGGGGCCUAAGCCGAGGACGGAAGUCGUAGGCGAUGGACAGCAGGUGUAGAUUCCUGCACUACCGAUGGAAUGAAGCAGUGACACAGAAGGAUAACUCGAGCAGGGUGAUGGUCAACCCUGUGCAAGCAUCAAGGUUGGGUUGUAGUGAAGUACGCAACCCUAUAAGCUGAGAUGUGAUGCGGACCGAAAUUUCAGUAGGGAAGCGAGUGAGUUCACGCUGGCGAGAAAAGCUGCUAGUACAUCCAAAGGUACCCGUACCGGAAACCGACGCAGGUGGGCGAGGAGAGAAUCCUGAGACGAACGGGAGAACCCUUGUUAAGGAACUCGGCAAAAUGACCCCGUAACUUCGGGAUAAGGGGUGCCUGCGAGAGCAGGCCGCAGAGAAUAGUCACAAGCGACUGUUUAGCAAAAACACAGGUAUCUGCGAAAGCGAGAGCUGACGUAUAGGUGCUGACACCUGCCCGGUGCUGGAAGGUUAAGGGAACAUGUUAGAGCAAUCGAAGCAUCGAACCGAAGCCCCAGUAAACGGCGGCCGUAACUAUAACGGUCCUAAGGUAGCGAAAUUCCUUGUCGGGUAAGUUCCGACCCGCACGAAUGGUGUAACGACUUGUGAGCUGUCUCAACAGGGGGCCCGGUGAAAUUGAAGUAUGGGUGAAGAUGCCCAUUACCCGCGACUGGACGGAAAGACCCCGUAGAGCUUUACUGCAGCCUGAUAUUGAGUUUCGGUAACUGAUGCACAGGAUAGGUGGGAGUCUGAGAGACAUGGGUUUCGGCUCAUGUGGAGACGAUGUUGGGAUACCACUCUUCGGUUACUGAAAUUCUAACAUAGCUCUGUGAAACCAGAGGAUGGACAGUGUCAGGUGGACAGUUUGACUGGGGCGGUCGCCUCCGAAAGAGUAACGGAGGCGCCCAAAGGUACCCUCAGAAUGGAUGGAAACCAUUCGAAGAGCGCAAAGGCAGAAGGGUGCCUGACUGCGAGAGUGACAACUCGAGCAGAGACGAAAGUCGGGCUUAGUGAUCCGGCGGUAUUGAGUGGAAAAGCCGUCGCUUAACGGAUAAAAGCUACCUCGGGGAUAACAGGCUGAUCUCCCCCAAGAGUCCACAUCGACGGGGAGGUUUGGCACCUCGAUGUCGGCUCGUCGCAUCCUGGGGCUGAAGCAGGUCCCAAGGGUUUGGCUGUUCGCCAAUUAAAGCGGCACGCGAGCUGGGUUCAGAACGUCGUGAGACAGUUCGGUCCCUAUCCAUCGUGGGCGUAGGAGUCAUGAGAGGAGCUGUUCCUAGUACGAGAGGACCGGAAUGGACGCACCACUGGUGCAACUGUUGUCGUGCCAACGGCAUAGCAGGGAAGCGAAGUGCGGAUGGGAUAAACGCUGAAGGCAUCUAAGCGUGAAGCCCACCUCAAGAAUAAGACUCCACAAUAGACCCCUGGAGGACUACCAGGUAGAUAGGUCAUCGGUGGAAGCGCUGUAAGGCGUGU
rnacentral:rRNA from 1 species